rnacentral:misc_RNA from 1 species
CGGCAGUUGCGGAGGCCGCUGUGGCAGCGGCUCAUGCGGCAGCCGAGGUUGUAAGGUUGACGAGUAGCGGAAGGUGCGCUAACAACCCAGCAGUGACGUCCGUUAACAGGAGCCAUGCCUGGCGCGAGGAUCUGGCUGCCGUUAAGAUACAAUCUGCUUUCCGAGGAUACUUGGCAAGAAGGGCAUUGCGAGCUUUAAAAGCAUUAGUCAGGCUUCAGGCGCUGGUAAGAGGUAACAUUGAGAGGAAGCGAACAACACAAUGGCUUCAUCGUAUGCAAGCAUUAUUGAGAACCCAGGCACGAGCACAAACAGGACGGAUACAGCUCUCUGAAUCAUUACAUUCAAGUAGCAAGUCUUCUUACUUUCACCACCCUGGUCCACCUACCCCUGAAAAGUUUGAACAUGUAAUACGAGGUAGGAGUGGAAAAUAUGAACAGUCAUCAAUUCUUAAGAGGACGGGAUCAAAAUCUAAUGGCAGGGCAAUUAGUGAUGAAGACAAAGCACACUUAUCCUUUCAUUGGUCAGAACGUGGCAUGGAUGAAAGAUCACUGGAACAAAUAGUGCCUUUAUCUGGCACUAUAGACGAUGAGAAGAGUGACAAGAUCCUUGAAAUAGAUACCGGAAAACCCGACUUCACUCCUAAACGAAGAAACCUUUCCCAUUCCUCUCAUCUUCCCUUGGCUUCAGUUCAAUGUAGUUAUAGUUUCACAACUUCAAAAGACUCCAUGACCCAUCAAACUGUUCCAAGUCCAUCAUCAGGUGAAAUCCAGUCUUUUAGUCCUCUGAAAUUUACUCAUGAGGAUGAGGAGGCCUUUUGCACUGCUGAAAAUAGCCCUCAGUUCUACUCUGCAUCAUCAAGAGGGGGUAGCAGCAGAAGACCCUUCACUCCCAGUAAGAGUGAUGGCUCAGCAAGCUUUCUAAGUGGGUACUCAGGCUACUACCCAAAUUACAUGUCUUACACUGAAUCAUCAAGGGCUAAAGUGAGAUCUCUCAGUGCACCAAAGCAAAGGCCCCUAUACGAGAGAUCAAGUUCAACAAAGAGGUACUCAAUUCAUGGCUUUGGCGAGCCAAGGUCGAGCAGUGCACAGAGGGCUUCUGCCUUGCGUGCAAGCUUUACUAGCAAAGCUUAUCCAGGAUCUGGUCGCUUGGACAGACUAGGAAUGCCUGUUGGCCAGAGAUACUGAUAAGUGAUUCCAAGGGUUCUAGUUUCUGGAGUAGUUUUUUGCCAACUGAUGUGACUUGGUUAAUACUUGUAGUUUGUCUAAGAUGUGUUUAAACUUUUAACGUUUCUAGUGACUGAAAUCUGACCAAACACUAGAAAAUCCAAUGGAAAAUCUUAUAUUUAAGCGUGUUUGAUGUUUGCAACGAAGACAACUUAAUCCUUAGUACUCCCA